AUGGCGCGGAGCCCAGCUCAGGUCGCUCUCCGGCUGAUCACCCUGCUCCUUUUGCUUCCAGCGGCGUGGUCGGCGACGUUCACGAUGACCAACAACUGCGGCUACACGGUGUGGCCGGGGCUGCUGUCGGGCGCCGGCACGGCGCCGCUGUCCACGACGGGGUUCGCGCUGGCGCAGGGCGCGUCGGCCACGGUGACCGCGCCGGCGAGCUGGUCCGGGCGCAUGUGGGCGCGCACGCUCUGCGCCGAGGACGCCGCCGGCAAGUUCACCUGCGCCACGGGCGACUGCGGCUCGGGUGCGCUCCAGUGCAACGGCGGCGGCGCCGCGCCGCCGGCCUCGCUGGUGGAGUUCACGCUCGACGGCUCCGGCGGCAUGGACUUCUUCGACGUCAGCCUCGUCGACGGCUACAACCUCCCGAUGCUGGUCGUGCCGCAGGGCGCCGCCGCCGCCGGCUCCACGGGCGGGCCCAAGUGCAUGGCCACCGGCUGCCUCGUCGACCUGAACGCCGCGUGCCCGGCAGCGCUGAAGGUCGCGUCGGCGGGCGCCGCCAGCAGCGCGGCGGUCGGCGGGAGCGCCAUGGCGUGCCGCAGCGCGUGCGAGGCGUUCGGGUCCCCGGAGUACUGCUGCAGCGGCGCGUACGGGAGCCCCAGCACGUGCCGGCCGUCGGCCUACUCGCAGUACUUCAAGAGCGCGUGCCCGCGCGCCUACAGCUACGCGUACGACGACUCCACCUCCACCUUCACCUGCGCCGCCGGCACCAACUACGCCAUCACCUUCUGCCCGAGCACCACCAGUGGGAAGUACGCCGACGAGAACCCGCAGGCUGCCGGCGUGCCGCCCGCGAACGGCACGAUGAUGUACCGCGGCGGCGAGCAGUUCUCCACGGGCGCUGGGGCCUCCGUUGCCGCACAUGCGUCGCAGCUCCUCCUCGCGGUGGCCGUCGCCGCCGCUGUGCUGCUACUGUGA
rnacentral:rRNA from 1 species